rnacentral:sRNA from 1 species
UAUAUAGAAGUAUGGGAGACUAAGGCUAUCUAGAAGUAUGGGAGACUAAGGUUAUCUAGAAGUAUGGGAGACUAAGGUUAUCUAGAAGUAUGGGAGACUAAGGCUAUCUAGAAGUAUGGGAGACUAAGGUUAUCUAGAAGUAUGGGAGACUAAGGUUAUAUAGAAGUAUGGGAGAUUAAGGUUAUAUAGAAGUAUGGGAGACUAAGGCUAU